rnacentral:rRNA from 1 species
CAGGUCUGUGAUGCCCUUAGACGUUCUGGGCCGCACGCGCGCUACACUGACGGAGCCAGCGAGUCGACCAAGCCCGAGAGGGCUAGGUAAUCUUGUGAAACUCCGUCGUGCUGGGGAUAGAGCAUUGCAAUUAUUGCUCUUCAACGAGGAAUUCCUAGUAAGCGCAAGUCAUCAGCUUGCGUUGAUUACGU